AACGAACGCUGGCGGCAGGCUUAACACAUGCAAGUCGAACGCGUGUAGCAAUACACGAGUGGCGCACGGGUGAGUAACGCGUGGAUAUCUGCCUUUUGGUUCGGAAUAACCCCGGGAAACUGGGGCUAAUACCGGAUGGUUCCUACGGGAUACAGAUUUAUCGCCAAAAGAUGAGUCCGCGUAUGAUUAGCUAGUUGGUGAGGUAAUGGCUCACCAAGGCGACGAUCGCUAGCUGGUCUGAGAGGACGAUCAGCCACACUGGGACUGAGACACGGCCCAGACUCCUACGGGAGGCAGCAGUGGGGAAUAUUGGACAAUGGGGGCAACCCUGAUCCAGCCAUGCCGCGUGAGUGAUGAAGGCCUUCGGGUUGUAAAGCUCUUUUGGCGGGGACGAUGAUGACGGUACCCGCAGAAUAGGCCCCGGCUAACUUCGUGCCAGCCGCCGCGGUAAGAC
rnacentral:rRNA from 1 species